GUCAGGACCCAGACCUGGAGAGCUUUACCUGAGUCUUGUGUCUGUCUGCCCAUGUAGAGGUGGAUAUGAGAUCGGUGAAAGCUUCUUAAACUGGUGCUUGCUGAUUUCAAUAAUUCCAUGCCUUGCUCAAAUAUCUCAUAUGCAGUUUUGAAAGACACAACCCUGUGUUUUCAUUAAAGAAAAAAUAAUCCAGAGGAAAUGUACAGUUGUUUAUUUCAUUUCAUUCCUGUCCUAAUAUGACUCUAUCCUAGCUUGCUCAGUUUCUUUCCCUCUGAAUGCAAGUGCUCUCACAGGCCAUUGCGUGCCGACCCUCCCUCCCUCGACACUACAGUUUAAUAAUGGGUUUGUGUGCUGAUUUGAAUCCACAGGGAAAAGCAGCAUCUUUCAUAGAGGUGUGCUGGGAAGGAAUGGGCAAAUAUAACACAGAACAGCUACUGACUUGAAAGCAGAACUGCUAAGAACAAUGGCAGUAUUAAAGGGAUUCUAUGUAAGAAUCAUUCUAGAGCUCUCCCCAGUCCUGCUCUUCCAUUCUAUGUAUGUAUGCCUCACAUGUUAGAGCAAAUAGUUAUUUUAAAGUGCAAUUUGGCUAGCAUCUUCCUUUCAGGCCUGUGCCAUUUUUUGCUUCCUGUGAUUUAGAAUCAUAUGAUAUUGUCACCUUUCAACUGUCAACUCCACCUGAAGUGUGGGACUCGGCACAUCAGAGUUCACAUUAGCCAGGGUCAUUGUCCCUCCUCACGAUUCUCAACGCCAAACUAUAUUUUUGCUUCAUUGUAUCAAGUUGCUGUCUUAAACUGGCAGAAGGAGUGGCUUGGGCAGAUUGCAAUCUGAGCCUCUCUAGCAGUGCCUGUCCUUGAUACCUGACCCCUCUAACAGUGUCUGUCCUUGAUACCUGACCUUAACUGAGAAUUAAUAAGAUCAGCAGUUUUCAGCUGUUUUAUUUUUUCAGUUGGUGAAAGAUAACUGCACCUCUGUAGCCUUUUCCAUUUCAGUUGUGAAACGCACACAGACAAUGCACCGUCUCUUUGAGAGGUGUGAAAGUGUGAUGCUGAGCAGGACGAGCACAGGAAUGACAUUGCAUUUCAUAUUGACGAAUAUGAGGGUUAAAAACAACUUCUGGUUAUGUGUACCAUGCUGUGUUCCUGUAGAUGGGAGGUUUUAACAUGGGCUAAUGCAGCCCUAACCUUUUGCAAUAUUCUAAAUACGUACUACAAUAUAUUAAGUGGCAGCCCAUGAAGGAAUCUGCUUGAGAGGCAGCAGGACUGGGGGAGGCAGGAUGAAGGUAUCUGCUUGAGAGGCAGCAGGACUGGGGGAGGCAGGAUGAAGGUAUCUGCUUGAGAGGCAGCAGGACUGGGGGAGGCAGGAUGAAGGUAUCUGCUUGAGAGGCAGCAGGACUGGGGGAGGCAGGAUGAAGGUAUCUGCUUGAGAGGCAGCAGGACUGGGGGAGGCAGGAUGAAGGUAUCUGCUUGAGAGGCAGCAGGACUGGGGGAGGCAGGAUGAAGGUAUCUGCUUGAGAGGCAGCAGGACUGGGGGAGGCAGGAUGAAGGUAUCUGCUUGAGAGGCAGCAGGACUGGGGGAGGCAGGAUGAAGGUAUCUGCUUGAGAGGCAGCAGGACUGGAGGAGGCAGGAUGAAGCUGUUGGAGAGUCUCCGGUACUGUGCCUUUGUAAAUUGUCUUUCACCUCUAGAACUGUAUUUUAGGGGCACUUUUUUGUUUUAUUAACUGUUGAACUAACCAUGAACAAAAAAUAAACCAUGUUACUUGUUAACAGUAAGCUAGCUGUAAACAGUUA